rnacentral:rRNA from 1 species
CGGGGUGUGUAAUGUCUGGGAAACUGCCUGAUGGAGGGGGAUAGCUACUGGAAACGGUAGCUAAUACCGCAUAACGUCGCAAGACCAAAGAGGGGGACCUUCGGGCCUCUUGCCAUCGGAUGUGCCCAGAUGGGAUUAGCUAGUAGGUGGGGUAACGGCUCACCUAGGCGACGAUCCCUAGCUGGUCUGAGAGGAUGACCAGCCACACUGGAACUGAGACACGGUCCAG